rnacentral:rRNA from 1 species
GAAAACUACAAGCAUAAGCUUAAAACUCAAAGAACUUGGCGGCGCUUUUAACCCACCUAGAGGAGCCUGUCCUGUGAUCGACAAUCCCCGCUAUACCUUACCUUUUUUAACUUAGCCUAUAUACCGCCGUCGUCAGCUUACUCCUUAAUGAAACAUUAGUGGGCAAGCUCAGCUUCUACCUCCAAACGUCAGGUCAAGGUGCAGCAUAUAAAAAGAGAAGAGAUGGGCUACACUGCCUGCUACAGGCCUCCGAAUUAUGUUUUGAAAUAAACCUAUGAAGCAGAAUUUAGCAGUAAGUAAAAAAUAGAGUGUUUU